GUUUGACUCUCCAGCAGCUCCUUCGAACUCCCUCCCCUGAUGAACGGCCCGGGUCGUGAUGAUGGAGGGGCAGAGAUCAGUGGCUUCUCACUGCGUUCCCUCCCACUACUGCUACGACUGCUGGGAGGAAAAAAAACAAACACAUUUUGUCCCCGCCUUCGAGAGUGGUCGUUUGGGACAGCCAUCAACAUUUUUGGCAUACUGAUCCAAGAACUCUGUGACAUUUAGACCAGCUGCAGCUACAAUCUGACUGCAACACCUGGCCUGUCAAAAACGCACAGAUGACGUAAUGUGUCACGGUUGUACAUCUACUUGGAACUACAGAGAUUAUUUCAAAGAAGUUCAUAUUUGUUUGUACUCAAAUUUUGAGUUUUCAGAGAGGUGAGGGAUAAAGAAAUAAGUUUGGAAGAAUCA